rnacentral:lncRNA from 1 species
CCACGAAGAGCACCAAAAUUCGAGUAUAACGCGAGGAACAAAAAAAAUAAGCACAGAUUAGAAAAGGGAAAGAAUAGAGAAAGAAACUCAAGUCAGAAUUUCUAGAAGAGAGAGAAAAGAAAUUUUGAAAACAAAAUAAAAAUAAAAUAAAAUCCCACUAUAUCUAUUCUAACCUCCCACUAACCACCAAAUCCCACUAACUCAUAACUCCCUCAGAAUUUUAGCUCUACCGAAACUCUAUCAGACAAUCGAGCAAAAUUAGCACCCCC